GGAAGGAUCAUUAUCAGUCUCUGGCUGUGCAUGCUGCAUGUGCAAUCCAAAACAAACCACUCUGUGUACUUUUCCUGUUGCUUCCAUGGGGCAUGGUGUCUUUGCAUCACUCCGCGGUUGGUCUUUAUUGGCCGCUGUUUGGAGAGUCUCCAUGAAAGGUUAUUGACCAAAUCACUUGCUGUCUUGUAUUUUCAGUCUGAAUAUGAUAAAAUUAAUAUAGUUAAAACUUUCAACAACGGAUCUCUUGGUUCUUGCAUCGAUGAAGAACGCAGCGAAAUGCGAUAAGUAGUGUGAAUUGCAGAAUUCAGUGAAUCAUCGAAUCUUUGAACGCACAUUGCGCCCUUCGGUAUUCCGGGGGGCAUGCCUGUUCGAGCGUCAUCAAAAACAUCUCAAGACAUGUUCUUGGUCAUGGAGAGUGGUUGACUUUAUGUCACCCACUUCCUAAAUUGAUUGGCAGAUUGCAAAAUUUUCACCGAGUGUAAUAAUAAUAACCAUUCAUGACGUGACUUUUGCAUAUUGAGCUAUAAACCCUCAUUUAUUAUUCAGGUUGACCUCGGAUCAGGUAGGGAUACCCGCUGAACUUAAGCAUAUCAAUAAGCGGAGGAAAAGAAACCAACAGGGAUUGCCUUAGUAACUGCGAGUGAAGCGGCAAAAGCUCAAAUUUGAAAUCCGAUACCUUUGGGUGUUUGAGUUGUAAUUUGGAGGGGCAUCUUCGGGGGCUAGUGUCAUUCUAAGUUCUUUGGAACAGGACGUCAUAGAGGGUGAGAAUCCCGUGUCUGGAUGACUGUCUGGCCCUAUGUGAAGUGUCUCCGACGAGUCGAGUUGUUUGGGAAUGCAGCUCAAAAUGGGUGGUAAAUUUCAUCUAAAGCUAAAUAUUG
rnacentral:rRNA from 1 species